UACACAUGCAGUCGUGCAAGGUACCAAGACUUUGUUCUUUUGCUUUCGAGUGGGGGAGGGGUGAGUAAUGUGUGGGAAACUGCCUGAUGGAGGGGAUUAACUACUGGACCGGUACUUAAUACCGCAUAACGUCUUAAGACCAAGGAGGGGGACCUUCGGGCCUCUUGCCAUCGGAUGUGCCCGAAUGGGAUUCGCUAGUAUGUGGGGUAACGGCUCACCUAGGCCACCAUCCCUACCAGGUCUGACAGGAUGACCAGCCACAUUGGAACUGAUACACGGUCCACACUCCUACGGCACGCAGGGGUGGGGAAUAUUGCACAUUGGGCGCAAUGCUGAAGCACCCGUGCCGCGUGUAUGACGAAGGCCUUCAGGUUUUUCAGAUCUUUCAACUGGGAUGAAGGGAAAAAAGUUAUUAACUUUGCUCUGUGUGUUUCCCCGCAGAACAAUCUUAGAAUAACUCCGUGCCAUCCGCCGCGGCAGUACGGAGGGUGCAAGCGUGAAUCGGAAUUACUGGACUUAUAGCGCACGCAGGCGGCUUGUGCGGUCCUAUGUGUAAUCCCCGAGCUCCCCCUGCUAACUGCAGGAGAUACUGUCAAGCUUGAGUCU
rnacentral:rRNA from 1 species